AGACCUGUAACACAGGGAUAUUUAAGGCAGUGAAACAAGAAGAGAAUUUCUGAAGAAUGUGGGCAGAUAAACUAGUAAGCUAUUUCAAAUAUAUUACAAACAAAGCAACAAAGUAAGCUGAAACAAGUGCAAAGUAUUUAGUUGGCUGCUCAUCUUCUGUUCACUUAAAUACUAAUUUUUUUCCUUCUUUUUGUUAUAACCAAGGGGUCACAGGAAGAACUUAAAACAAAGCACCUGGCAAACAGUGAACAAGGACCUAAGUUCAAACCACUGGUCCCCACCUGGAGGGGGAAAGCUUCAGGAGUGGUGAAGCAGGGCUGCAGAUGAUCCUGAUGCCUCAUUAGAAUUGGAGGAGGAUGGAGCAGGUGCAUCUUUUUUGGUAUGUCGAAUAAGGUGGGCUCGCAAGGAGGCACUGUACUGAAACUGCUUCUUACACAACUGAAAGACAAAGAAAAUAAAAUUUCGGAGCUCCA